rnacentral:misc_RNA from 1 species
UCUGGCAACAGCCUGGAGGGCCCCGGCGUUGGGGAUCGGCUGCCCCCGCGGCUGCCGUCCCCGAAAUCUAGUGACGGUCUCACCGCAUACUCCUUUGCGUAGUAAAACACCUCGCACUGGACGGCUGGAGUGACCACGUCGUUAACCCCCAACUUUAUAAGGUUGACCUCGGAUCAGGUAGGAAUACCCGCUGAACUUAA